UCUCUGUUAGUAUAUCGGUUAGUACACGCGCUUGUCAUCUCUAAGACGCCUCCGAUCCGCGCGAAAGCUGGGUUCGACUCCCAGACAGAGAG